GUCGAACGAACUCUGGUAUUGAUUGGUGCUUGCAUCAUGAUUUACAUUUGAGUGAGUGGCGAACUGGUGAGUAACACGUGGGAAACCUGCCCAGAAGCGGGGGAUAACACCUGGAAACAGAUGCUAAUACCGCAUAACAACUUGGACCGCAUGGUCCGAGUUUGAAAGAUGGCUUCGGCUAUCACUUUUGGAUGGUCCCGCGGCGUAUUAGCUAGAUGGUGAGGUAACGGCUCACCAUGGCAAUGAUACGUAGCCGACCUGAGAGGGUAAUCGGCCACAUUGGGACUGAGACACGGCCCAAACUCCUACGGGAGGCAGCAGUAGGGAAUCUUCCACAAUGGACGAAAGUCUGAUGGAGCAACGCCGCGUGAGUGAAGAAGGGUUUCGGCUCGUAAAACUCUGUUGUUAAAGAAGAACAUAUCUGAGAGUAACUGUUCAGGUAUUGACGGUAUUUAACCAGAAAGCCACGGCUAACUACGUGCCAGCAGCCGCGGUAAUACGUAGGUGGCAAGCGUUGUCCGGAUUUAUUGGGCGUAAAGCGAGCGCAGGCGGUUUUUUAAGUCUGAUGUGAAAGCCUUCGGCUCAACCGAAGAAGUGCAUCGGAAACUGGGAAACUUGAGUGCAGAAGAGGACAGUGGAACUCCAUGUGUAGCGGUGAAAUGCGUAGAUAUAUGGAAGAACACCAGUGGCGAAGGCGGCUGUCUGGUCUGUAACUGACGCUGAGGCUCGAAAGUAUGGGUAGCAAACAGGAUUAGAUACCCUGGUAGUCCAUACCGUAAACGAUGAAUGCUAAGUGUUGGAGGGUUUCCGCCCUUCAGUGCUGCAGCUAACGCAUUAAGCAUUCCGCCUGGGGAGUACGGCCGCAAGGCUGAAACUCAAAGGAAUUGACGGGGGCCCGCACAAGCGGUGGAGCAUGUGGUUUAAUUCGAAGCUACGCGAAGAACCUUACCAGGUCUUGACAUACUAUGCAAAUCUAAGAGAUUAGACGUUCCCUUCGGGGACAUGGAUACAGGUGGUGCAUGGUUGUCGUCAGCUCGUGUCGUGAGAUGUUGGGUUAAGUCCCGCAACGAGCGCAACCCUUAUUAUCAGUUGCCAGCAUUAAGUUGGGCACUCUGGUGAGACUGCCGGUGACAAACCGGAGGAAGGUGGGGAUGACGUCAAAUCAUCAUGCCCCUUAUGACCUGGGCUACACACGUGCUACAAUGGAUGGUACAACGAGUUGCGAACUCGCGAGAGUAAGCUAAUCUCUUAAAGCCAUUCUCAGUUCGGAUUGUAGGCUGCAACUCGCCUACAUGAAGUCGGAAUCGCUAGUAAUCGCGGAUCAGCAUGCCGCGGUGAAUACGUUCCCGGGCCUUGUACACACCGCCCGUCACACCAUGAGAGUUUGUAACACCCAAAGUCGGUGGGGUAACCUUUUAGGAACCA
rnacentral:rRNA from 1 species